rnacentral:rRNA from 1 species
AACGAACGCUGGCGGCAUGCCUAACACAUGCAAGUCGAACGAGACCUUCGGGUCUAGUGGCGCACGGGUGCGUAACGCGUGGGAACCUGCCCUUAGGUUCGGAAUAACUCCCCGAAAGGGGUGCUAAUACUGGAUAAUGUCUUCGGACCAAAGAUUUAUCGCCUUUGGAUGGGCCCGCGUUGGAUUAGCUAGUUGGUAGGGUAAAAGCCUACCAAGGCGACGAUCCAUAGCUGGUCUGAGAGGAUGAUCAGCCACACUGGGACUGAGACACGGCCCAGACUCCUACGGGGGGCAGCAGUGGGGAAUAUUGGACAAUGGGCGAAAGCCUGAUCCAGCAAUGCCGCGUGAGUGAUGAAGGCCUUAGGGUUGUAAAGCUCUUUUACCCGGGAUGAUAAUGACAGUACCGGGAGAAUAAGCUCCGGCUAACUCCGUG